rnacentral:lncRNA from 1 species
GGGGGAUAAAGUACGUUUUGUAUGAGUAAGUGAUGGAAAAAAAUAUAUGCUCUAGCUAGGACAAGCCAAAUCUAGAAGAAAAUCAAGCCAUAAGAUAAUGGAUGAAGAUUGCGGAAUUUGGUGGUGGUGAAGGUGUUGAUAGCUCAUGGUUUUCAUGAGUUUCAAUGGUGAUGUAAGGUAUCUUUGGUGGUUCUCUAAGAGAGGUUGGGCCAACUCUUGGAGGAAGGUGGCUAGAGGAGGCCAUUUGGGUUGCUCUAGCCUAGGGUGACCUUAAAAGAGUAGUAUGGCACAAAAAUGGCAGCAUAACUUUACUCUAAAUCAAAGGUGAUUACAUGAUGGAGAAC